GUGAAUCAUCAAAUUUUUGAACGCAAAUUGCACUCUCUUCGGAGAGUAUGCCUGUUUGAGGGUCAGCCUAAAAAAAAAUCGACAUAGUCGCUGUUUCGCUGUUACCUUCGUCGGAAAUUGGUUCAUCUUAAACCUUUUGGUUUUAAGCGGCGUAAAAUUUUCUUUACGAUUCCACGAACGUUUCUAAGAUUUACUUCUUACACGUUUAAGGUAAUGGAUCUUUAUUAGACGUUACCG
rnacentral:misc_RNA from 1 species